rnacentral:rRNA from 1 species
UACGGAGGGGGCUAGCGUUGUUCGGAAUGACUGGGCGUAAAGCGCGCGUAGGCGGCUUUUGUAAGUCAGAGGUGAAAUCCCGGGGCUCAACUCCGGAACUGCCUUUGAAACUGCAUCGCUUGAAUCCGGGAGAGGUGAGUGGAAUUCCGAGUGUAGAGGUGAAAUUCGUAGAUAUUCGGAAGAACACCAGUGGCGAAGGCGGCUCACUGGACCGGCCAUUGACGCUGAGGUGCGAAAG